rnacentral:rRNA from 1 species
UCGGGAAUAUUGCGCAAUGGAGGAAACUCUGACGCAGUGACGCCGCGUGCAGGAAGAAGGUUUUCGGAUUGUAAACUGCUUUAGACAGGGAAGAAAAAAGACAGUACCUGUAGAAUAAGCUCCGGCUAACUACGUGCCAGCAGCCGCGGUAAUACGUAGGGAGCAAGCGUUAUCCGGAUUUAUUGGGUGUAAAGGGUGCGUAGACGGAGAAGCAAGUUAGUUGUGAAAUCCCUCGGCUUAACCGAGGAACUGCAACUAAAACUACUUCCCUUGAGUGCUGGAGAGGAAAGUGGAAUUCCUAGUGUAGCGGUGAAAUGCGUAGAUAUUAGGAGGAACACCAGUGGCGAAGGCGACUUUCUGGACAAUAACUGACGUUGAGGCACGAAAGUGUGGGGAGCAAACAGGAUUAGAUACC